rnacentral:lncRNA from 1 species
AGGCUGUCAACUAAGCCUCCUCCUUAGGAAGAAUCAGAGGUCAUUCCAGGGAGCCACUACAGGGUGAUCACACAGGACAGGAAGUUCUGUGUGGAAGUCUCACUUGGCCUACAAUACACCACUUCCAUUCUCACCCCUGCCUCCCAACCUUUGAGGCUGCCUUGGCCACUGCAAGGAAAUAGCGUGUUCUCUACACAAAGGGGUUCGCAGAACUCAGAGAUUCUGGCUGACAGAACUGGGCUCGUCUGAACUCCACGACAGGCUGGCUGUGCAGCUUUUUUGGCAGAGUUCUACAUGGCUGGGGAGGCUUCAGGAAACUCACAAUUAUGACAGAAGGCACGUCUUUGGAGGAUGGCAGGAGAGAGAAUGAUAGCUAAGUGAAGAGGGAAGCUGCUCAUAAAACCAUCAGAUCUCAUGAAGAAACUGAGGCACAGAGAGGUUACGUACCUUGCUGAAGGUCACACAAGCAGAGUGGUUUGACUAUGGAUCCUAGGCUUUUGAUGAAGACUUUGUAUUUCUUUGUGCAGAGUAUCUUGGACAUAAGAGGACCCCCAAAAGGAGAGAGAGAUAUUUGUUUACAGAUGAAGAAUAAAGUAAAGUAAUUAUAAGGGUAGAAGCUGAGCUGUUACUA